GACGAACGCUGGCGGCGUGCUUAACACAUGCAAGUCGAACGAAAAUACCAAGCUUGCUUGGUUGAUUAGUGGCGAACGGGUGAGUAACACGUGAGUAACCUGCCCCUUACUUUCCUGGAUAACUGCUCGAAAGGGUAGCUAAUACGGGAUAUUCUGACUAGCCUGCAUGGGUUGGUUUGGAAAGGUUGUUUUUCUGGUAAGGGAUGGGCUCGCGGCCUAUCAGCUUGUUGGUGGGGUGAUGGCCUACCAAGGCUUUGACGGGUAGCCGGCCUGAGAGGGUGGACGGUCACACUGGGACUGAGAUACGGCCCAGACUCCUACGGGAGGCAGCAGUGGGGAAUAUUGCACAAUGGGCGCAAGCCUGAUGCAGCGACGCCGCGUGAGGGAUGGAGGCCUUCGGGUUGUAAACCUCUUUCGUCAGGGAACAAGGCACUGUCUUUUUGGUGGUGUUGAGGGUACCUGGAUAAGAAGCGCCGGCUAACUACGUGCCAGCAGCCGCGGUAAUACGUAGGGCGCAAGCGUUGUCCGGAAUUAUUGGGCGUAAAGAGCUCGUAGGCGGCUGGUCGCGUCUGUCGUGAAAACUUCCGGCUCGACCGGGGGCUUGCGGUGGGUACGGGCCGGCUAGAGUGCGGUAGGGGUAACUGGAACUCCUGGUGUAGCGGUGGAAUGCGCAGAUAUCAGGAAGAACACCGAUGGCGAAAGCAGGUUACUGUGCCGUUACUGACGCUUAGGAGCGAAAGCGUGGGGAGCGAACAGG
rnacentral:rRNA from 1 species